rnacentral:rRNA from 1 species
GUCUAUGGCCAUAUCACUCAGAGCAUGUCUGAUUUUGUCUGAUCUCUAAAGUUAAGCAGGGUUGAGCCUGGUGAGUACUAGGACGAAAGUAACCCCAAACUGGAAACAAGGUAAAUAUCCAUU